ensembl:lncRNA
GGAUGGAGCCUACAUACAGUGCUCAGCCCCUACUGCCGUUGAGCAGCCAGCAGCCCCCCCCCCCGAGUCCUGUAACAACCCGGGGCACCUGGGGCUGCUGCUCCAUUGAAAGCCAGGUGGAUCUCAGUUAUUUCCUUUUCAUUGGACAGAGGCUGUGGCUGAUCCCAAUCACCUCUGUGAGCUCUGCUCCUCCGGAGGAUGCUGAGGAAACGGCCUUUGCGCUGUUUGGAGCACUCUGGUGAAGGAGCAGCGCCCACUGCUCGGAAGAAGAAGAAUGGGGAAGAUGUCAGUUGAACAAAGCACUGAAAACAGGCAAUGAAAGCAACGCAUACACGAUGUGCUCGUACAGCUGCUACAAGGCAGCACGUGCUUUUAUUGCCGGCCGCCUUAUCUGCAGCAUUAGCAGUCAGGGCAGAUGGAUGCCUGCUGCUAAUGGGCUCUAACACUCCAUCCCUUCAAGACUAAUGGACAGCUUUCAGAAAGCACUUCGCUGCCACCUCCCCUGGCACAGAAUGGGACCGUGGGGUUACAUCCAAGGUGCAGCCCAUCACCUCUGCACAGCAGAGAAGCACUGGGCUCUCCCUGGAGUUGCAGUGUGUAACUCUCACCCCUCCUGCAGUUGCCAUUGCCUUCACCUGCCUGGCAGCUUCAGAAGAACCUCCUUUUUGUUUGUGGGACUCAACCAGCUCUGCAGCUGGAUUCAUUUGCAAGCAGCACUUUAGGAGAUGCAGUCAGCAAUGAGUACAAAAAUAGCACUUAUUUACUCCGUGUGCUUUGCUGACAAACAACUUCUGAAGUCCCCUGGAG